UGUUUCAUUUUGCACUAUGUUUGGAUGUUACAUUUUGCACUAUGUUUGAAAAUGUAACAUCCAAACAUAGUGCAAAAUGUAACA
rnacentral:pre_miRNA from 1 species